rnacentral:lncRNA from 1 species
CUUUCUUUUGUCAAUUCCCAUCACUUAACUCUUUCACCUUCUCUCUUCUUUUUUUCUCUAAGUCACUCUCCUUUGAAAGCAAACAAAGAUGGGGAAGGAGGGAAGAAGAAAGCAGACUUCUCUAAUUCUUUGGGCUGCCUUUGCUGCAUUGUUUGCACAGAAUUUGGUCAUUCCUGUCAUGUCUACUGCUUCUUUUGAAGAACAAAAGACUUAUUACUCUCCUGAUCCAAAUGCCGGAAGUCCCCCAACAGGUCUCUUCUCAUAUCUUUAAUUCAAAUACCCGGACAGAUUCGCUGUUUAAUUACUUUUUCUAGUCGGUAUACAUUGAUUAUGCACAAUUAUACACAUAUUAUACAUGAAUUAUACACAUUGUAUAUCCUUGGUUAUUUUCAGUUUAAGAGAUUAGGUGAGCGGUUAUUUGGAUUAAUGUUUAUCGUAUAUAGUUUCAUAGUCUUCUUGUUACUAGUUAUUUUAAAGUUUAGUUGACAAAAGCUAAUAUGUUUUCUUUAACUACUUUAUGAACCUAAAAUGGGCUGAUUUGCUGGUAGUAGCAGAAAUUAUAAAGGUAAAAUAGCUAAACAAGAACCAACACAGAUGUACAUAAUAGAAUAUGUUUGCUAAACCAACAUCUUUUCCAAGUCUUCCCAAAUUUGGAGACAUGAGCAUUUAUUCAAAUAUUAUUUUGAAUGAUCUUACCUAGAGUUUAACUUCUCUAUACAUUAUAGGUCACCUAAAAGAUAACUAUAGUUACGUAACAUGAAAAUAAGACAAAUUUCUUGUUACAAUAGGUUAAAGUAAGUGCAAAAACUCUUUCUGUUAUUGUCAGUGUAUAUAUAUUAACUCCUCUUUAUAUAUACCAUUUUGCAGUACUCACGACAUAGUUUUAUGAUUAACAGGUUCUCACACACCUCCAUCACAUUCAGGAGGUGGCCAUGGAACAUCACCUUCUCACGGAACACCUUCGCAUGGAGGCGGUAGCCAUGGAGGAACACCACCUGCAAACUGUGGUAAUCCCGCCCCUAGUGGCGGGCAUCACCACAACCCUACCCCAUCGCCUCCUUCAGGAGGCCAUGGAGGUGGUGGUUACUAUCCCUCCCCUCCAUCUCAUAGUGGAAGCCCUCCAAGUACUCCUACACCUACACCUAGUACCCCCAGUACACCAUCCACCCCCUCCACACCUACUAUUGUCACCCCGCCUACACCUCCUACCAUUGACCCUGGCACUCCAAGCACUCCAGGGGGUGGUUACUAUGGUGGAAGUCCUCCAAGUAUUCCUACACCUAGUACCCCUAGUAUUACACCCACUACCCCUUCUACACCUAUCAUUGAAACACCACCAACUACUCCUGUCGUUGAAACACCACCAACUACUCCUACUAUUGAUCCAGGCACUCCAAGUGCUCCAGGAGUCUUUCCAAU